rnacentral:rRNA from 1 species
AGCGAACGCUGGCGGCAGGCCUAACACAUGCAAGUCGAGCGGCCGUAGCAAUACGGCAGCGGCAGACGGGAGAGUAACACGUGGGAACGUACCUUUCAGUUCGGAACAACCCAGGGAAACUUGGGCUAAUACCGGAUACGCCCGUAAGGGGAAAGAUUUAUCGCUGAAAGAUCGGCCCGCGUCUGAUUAGCUAGUUGGUGAGGUAAUGGCUCACCAAGGCGACGAUCAGUAGCUGGUCUGAGAGGAUGACCAGCCUCACUGGGACUGAGACACGGCCCAGACUCCUACGGGAGGCAGCAGUGGGGAAUAUUGGACAAUGGGCGCAAGCCUGAUCCAGCCAUGCCGCGUGGAUGAUGAAGGCCCUAGGGUUGUAAAGUCCUUUCGGCGGGGAAGAUAAUGACGGUACCCGCAGAAGAAGCCCCGGCUAACUUCGUGCCAGCCGCCGCGGUAAUAC